ensembl:lncRNA
UCUGAUGCGAUAUGCUUGCCUGUUCGGAGAGUCGAUGCUGGACGUUUUAACACAUGAAUAUUGUUUGUGUAAUGUAGUCAUAAUAUUUACGCGGGGACGCAAGAGGAGUGAGGUGGAAGCUCCUCCGAACUCUGAACACAGAAACUCGGACUGGGACUUGAGAUCGACUUCUGCAGGCACUUCUCCAUCGAAUGAUCGUGGAAUUGAAAAAAGACUCAAUCCCACACAGUGAGUUCGAGCCUGUUUGGUGCCCCACCCUGGAGUCCUGCACACCUCCCAGGGCCGGUCCAUCAUGGUCUGUCUAAUGCAGGCAAAGACAUCAAUAAUGAGAGCUGAAGCAGAAACCACAGCGGAGAACACAAAAGAGAGAGGGAGGGCGCACACAGGCCACAAUUGGCUCUGCUGCAGGUUAGCUUCUUUGAUAUUGCCUUGAUUUCAGUUUGAUGGGUGCACAUGGGGCGACAUGGGUUUAUACGUAUGUGUUUACAUAAUAUGUAUGGUGUUUACGCACAGCCCACCGACUCUUUUUUUCUUUACUCUGAAGGGGGAUUUUCCUGUGGCAAGCGGCUUCGGAAAAAGCAAUUAAGAAUUCCCAAACAGUACACCACAAUGGGAGAUAUCGUUUGUGCAAUGUGUGUUCCAUGUCCCUCACAGUUUUUGUCUGGAAUGGGUUGACUAUUUUUAAUCUGCACAUAACCGAAUCCACCUACAGACAAACCACAAAUUGAAUGAAGGGGAGGGGGAUGAGUGGGCACUGUAAUUGCCUAUUGUGGAGCUCAAACUCCUCUGUUCUGCCAUAAACAGCUUUUGGUAGUUCACAACUUGAUACCCAGUGCUCUUGAAAUGAGGGCAUAUCCUUGUCGUCUGUGGGAACCCAUUGCCAGGCAGUGGUUGGAAUCAGUCAGGAAUGCUUUGGGAUGGUAACUGGAUUCAGUUGUAAUGCCCAGCUCUCCACAGCGGAACACUAGGGUGGGAAAAAGGCCGGGAGCAUUUCCUGAGUGGAGGGGGGUCCCAGCGAAGCAUCACGCGCAUGGGCAUCAUGUGACAGAGACCCUGCCAGGUUUAGGCUGUGAUCCCAAGUGAAGAGAGGAGUAGAGAUGAGUACACCCGUUAGGAGAGGUGUGGUUGGUGCGGUAGGCAGUGCCAGGGAAAUAAAUGAGAGGACAGGGAGAGGCUGGAAUGAAGAAAGAAGUUUAAAUAUUGUAAGUGCAAUGUAGUGUAACCCCUGAAGGACUAGUCAAGAGCUCAAUAAGAGAAGGGGGUAAAUUGGUGGCAUCUGUCUGAAUUAUUUAUUUAUUUAUUGUGAAAAAUGUGAAUUAAUUUGUUAAAUAGCCUUUUUAAAUUGUUAGAAAUUAUUUAGAGAUUCAUUUUUUGUGUUGAAUUUUUGUAUUUGUUUAGGUUCGCCUUCAUUCAUGUUUUGAGUUUAGCUGCUCACAAAAUAUGCAAAACAACAGUAAUGUUUCAUACAGCCAAAUCAAAUAAAGAAGCUCCUCCCUUAUUCAGAUGGGGUCACCACAGUGGGUAGCUCCACGUGUUUGAUUUGGCAGGUUUUAUACAGCGGAGGCUUUCCUGAUGCAAUUCCUAAGGGAUUUGUGUCUCUUCCCAGGUCAAGCAGGGAUCUUUUUCUUGUUGGGCAAAUGUGUAGAUCACUGUGCUAUGGAGAAGUUUGUAAUUUUUUAAAACUGUGUACACAGCAGGGAGGUUUUAACAGCCUCAUUGGCUCACCACCAGAAGUUUUGCAUUUAAUGAGAGGAAGCGUGCUUGAAAAGAAAGUGUCUAUGAUUUCAAAAUGACCAGGUUAUUAACAAACAAGUGUCCUCGGCACACUGCAAAUCACUGCCCAAGUCUCCAAGGGGCAAUGGCAUCAGAUUCGGUAAAUUUUGGUACAUCUGUUCACAAUAAAAGGCCAUGAUCGCCUCUGAGUUUUUUAACUGUAAAAAAUGAAUGCAGUCCAACUAUUUAUUUAUCUUUUGAAAUUUAACCUCAGUGGAGACCACUAUAAAGUGUGUGUCUGUGUGUGAAGGCAGAUGCCUGUGUGUUUUGAUUUGACUAAGUUAUUGCUCUGAGAUGAAGGGGGUGUGACCUAUGUGGCAAUCUGUGCAAAUUGUGUGACAGAAAAACACAACAGAACAAAUAUUGUUGCACAAGAAAAAAAAAAAAAAAAGAAAGAAAAGGAAAAAAAUAGCAGUUUGUUUGUUCAUUUCCCUUCCUGAAUUUGAUAAUGCUUUCAUCUCCAAACUCAACUGCAACAAACCACAUUUUAAAGCCACUAUAACGAAGCCAACAGAUGUUAUUUUAACAGUGUUUGUUUAAGCUCAACGCACCACUUACAUGUUCCUUUGGACUUGAGAAAAAUAAGAGUGUGAAUCCAUCCAUCCGUCUGGCUCUGUGUCUGCUUUUCUGUGCAGUCAGUGGCUGCAUCAUUGUUGUUUUUACAUGCUUCUUGCAGCUGCCUAUGCCACUGAUACAUGUAUUCAUGUAUCAGUGUAUACGAGAGUCUCGCUGACUAAAUAUUGGUGUGUAUAUGUGUCCAGCCUGGUGCUGGCAACCAGACAUUGCUCUCUUUGGCUUGUGUAAAUGUUGUGGUGAUCUUGGGAAGAAUCUUACCUUAUGGUUGUCAAAGGGCUUUUUAUUUCCACCUGCUACCGGCCUCUUUCCGCUGGUCUGCUCUAUAACAAUGGUACUGCGAAAGCUGCGGAGUUUAAAGUGAUUUAUGUUAGACUGUAUUUGGCCCUUCUUCAGAUUGGGGCCUGAAAGGAAGUGGCUAUCCCUCCCUUCCACCUUAAAUACCCUGCAGGCUUCAAGAGCUGAUCAGGACUUUCUUAGGCAUCUCAUUUUAACAAAGUGCCAAUGUGCUCAAAAGACUAGCUGGCAGGUGCAGAUAAACAAUGUUUUCAAGACUUAUAAGUCAAUUUACCAGCACAUAAAACACAAUGUAGUUCAUUUCUGCGAUACACUCAAACCCAGAUUUAGCCCCUCCAUCCUUUCUCUAGCCAUCACUCUUUUUUCUGGUCCUGUCAUGGGGGAACGAGAUACAGCCUCAUCCCCACUGCAUUCUUUCCAUUUUGCUGAAGAGGAGCGUGGCAGAGAAGGCAAUCUAUCACCCAAACUGUCCGUCCAUCUCUCUCCCUACUUCUAACUGUGUUUCUCUUUCUCCUUCCUCUAGGCUAGAGUGGGCAGGCAUGCGGCUUUGGCCACAGGAAGCUGUGAAUUCUUUGGAGAAUGGAAGAUGUCUGAUGGAGAGACAUACUGGCCCUCCACCCACCCACUCACCACCUCAAAAUGACCCCUGACCCUUUUCAUGUGUUUAUAUCAGACCGUGGAAGUGAGAAAUAGUGAUGAGUCACUCUGGCUGUGUGUUUACACUCUGGAGUCACGCAAGGAAGGAAAUCAGCCACGGUCUGCUAAAAGUGGCGAGGUGAGAGAGAAUAGCUGCAGUCCCGAGUGCUGCAGUGAUUUACCUCAGAGCCAGAAUUUGCUUCGUGUCAUCUCUGCUGUGAAAACUUUCAACCUGCAGAAAAGCACAGUAGACCUUUGUGGAAGAAAAGGGCCAAAACAAGUAGUAGCCACUGGGGAUAGGUGUGCGUAUGAGAGAGAGAUACGGCAUAUUUCAGGAAACAUAACAGUUAGAAUAAGUAAGAUAAUUAUUUCAGCAGAAUGCAUCUCAUCGAGAUGUUACAGAGUUCUUAAUAUGUUGGACUUUUGUGUUCUGUUAGAGAUGACCACGUUUAAUUUAAUUGCACUUUAAUCAUUCUCACACCUCACUGUGUUUAAACGAAAACCUACACUCGCACACAUUCACUUUGUUUUUAAGAAGAGCUGUUUUUAAAACUCAUCACUGCACAUUUAACUGUGUUAUUCAUCUUUCACAAAUAUUUUUUUAGGAGUAUUAAAUAACUAACUAAAACUGCUAUUACACUUUCACCUGGCAUUGUUUUGAACCAGGAGUUUAUGCGAUUGAGUUUUUGCAGUCGAUGAUUUUCAAAAGAAAAAACAAAGCAGCAAACAUUUGAAAACCCUUAAUUACUUUGCAGCAUAUUUUAACAUUUUACUUGAAUAUUUCAAAUGAUCUCACCCUCCUAAUUGUCUCCAGGUUGGACAAUAUCCC